GCGGGUAUGGCGGAACUGGCAGACGCGCUAGACUUAGAAUCUAGUUCUUAUGAGUGCAGGUUCGAUUCCUGUUACCCGCA
rnacentral:tRNA from 1 species